GACGAACGCUGGCGGCGUGCCUAAUACAUGCAAGUCGAGCGGAAGUUGGAGAGCUUGCUCUUCAACUUUAGCGGCGGACGGGUGAGUAACACGUGGGCAACCUGCCCUGCAGAUCGGGAUAACUCCGGGAAACCGGUGCUAAUACCGAAUAGUUUUCGCCACCUCCUGGUGGCGUACGGAAAGACGGUUUCGGCUGUCACUGCAGGAUGGGCCCGCGGCGCAUUAGCUAGUUGGUGGGGUAACGGCCCACCAAGGCGACGAUGCGUAGCCGACCUGCGAGGGUGAUCGGCCACACUGGGACUGAGACACGGCCCAGACUCCUACGGGAGGCAGCAGUAGGGAAUCUUCCGCGAUGGACGAAAGUCUGACGGAGCAACGCCGCGUGAGUGACGAAGGUUUUCGGAUCGUAAAACUCUGUUGUGAGGGAAGAACAAGUACCACUUAACUACUGGUACCUUGACGGUACCUCACCAGAAAGCCACGGCUAACUACGUGCCAGCCGCCGCAGUAACAC
rnacentral:rRNA from 1 species